CUCCACCUGGGGAGUACGCCGGCAACGGUGAAACUCAAAGGAAUUGACGGGGGCCCGCACAAGCGGAGGAACAUGUGGUUUAAUUCGAUGAUACGCGAGGAACCUUACCCGGGCUCAAACGUUGCAGGAAGGGUGUCUGAAAGGAUGCCCGUCUACGGACCUGCGACGAGGUGCUGCAUGGUUGUCGUCAGCUCGUGCCGUGAGGUGUCGGCUUAAGUGCCAUAACGAGCGCAACCCCUACCGCCAGUUGCCAACAGGCAAAGCUGGGGACUCUGGCGGGACUGCCGGCGCAAGCUGCGAGGAAGGCGGGGAUGACGUCAAAUCAGCACGGCCCUUACGUCCGGGGCGACACACGUGUUACAAUGGCAGGUACAGCGGGAAGCCACCUGGCGACAGGGAGCGGAACCCGAAAGCCUGUCUCAGUUCGGAUUGGAGUCUGCAACCCGACUCCAUGAAGCUGGAUUCGCUAGUAAUCGCGCAUCAGCCACGGCGCGGUGAAUACGUUCCCGGGCCUUGUACACACCGCCCGUCAAGCCAUGGGAGUCGGGAGUGCCUGAAGUGCGUGAGCGCGAGCAGCGCCCUAGGGCAAAACCGAUGACUGGGGCUAAGUCGUAACAAGGUAGCCGU
rnacentral:rRNA from 1 species